rnacentral:lncRNA from 1 species
AUGGCCUGGAGCUCGUGGGCGGGGUUCAGGAUGGGCUCCACCAGCAGGACGUGGGUCGCCUCGAUGAUGUUCAGCCCGUUGGAGCCGGUGUGGAGAGGGAGGAGGAGGAUGUUGAUCUUCUCCUCGUACUUGAAGGAGCUCAGGUUCUCCUGGAACAGAACCGUGGUUCCUGUCAGACGCCGUGAGCACAGAAGACCACCCAGCAGCGUCCCAGGCGGAGCUCAGACCCACCUGGAACUUGUGAAUCCCGUUAAUUUGGGAGAACUCCAUGCUGUUGUCGAACAAGGCCUUGGCGAUGAUGUCCAGAACGCUCUGCCACUGUUCAGAACCAGAGAGCAGCCGGUCAGACCCGAACCCGCAGCCCGAAGCCAAGCCGAGCAGACGGAGCGGUUACCGUGGAGAAGACCAGACACUUGGCUCCGGGAUCCCGUAUCUGGAACCUCUUCAGCGUACUCACCACAGCCUCCACCUUGGUGGAAUGGCUCCCCUGAAGCGGAGAACAGAACAUUCUGGGAUGUGAUGGAAGCUCCGCCCUGCGGGGGCCAGUGGGGGCCGGCGGGGGCUGACCUUCACAGGGAUGUCUUGGUCCUGGCUGCUGGACUGCGUGGUGAACACGUAGGAGAUUUCGGCGUGGGACGUAGUCUGCCUGCAGAUGGCGCAUUUGAUGGCUCGGCGCCGCGAGCCCACGCUGUACUGCUCCACGAUGAUGGAGAUGCACUCGUUACAGAAGCAGUGGCCGCAGGUCAGCACCGCCCACUGCAGGGCGGAGAGGGUCAGGGAGGCGGCGGCGCUGCAGAGCUAGGAGGAGGUUGGAGGGAGACUCACCUCCUGGCCCAGAGGCCGGGCACAGAUGGGACAUGGUUCUGGGUUCAGCUCGCCCGUAGACUUGUCCUGGGACUUGAAGAAGAAGGGUUUGGGGUUCAGUGCCGGCACAGAUGUCACGGCUCUCCGUGUAGCGGCGUUACCUUCUCCAGGCAGAGGAACAGCUUCAGCCCCAACGCCUCAGCAGACACCCGGGCGCGGCGUCGGGACGGACCUCGUGCGGUUCGAUGA